rnacentral:rRNA from 1 species
GAUAAACGCUGGCGGCGCACAUAAGACAUGCAAGUCGAACGAACUUAAUCGUUAGUUUACUAAUGAAGCGGUUAGUGGCGGACUGGUGAGUAACACGUAAGCAACCUGCCUAUUAGAGGGGAACAACAGUUAGAAAUGACUGCUAAUACCGCAUAUGCCAUAAGUAUCGCAUGAUACAAGUGGGAAAGGAGCAAUCCGCUAAUAGAUGGGCUUGCGUCUGAUUAGAUAGUUGGUGGGGUAACGGCCUACCAAGUCGACGAUCAGUAGCCGAGUUGAGAGACUCUACGGCCACAUUGGGACUGAGAUACGGCCCAGACUCCUACGGGAGGCAGCAGUCGGGAAUACUGCGCAAUGGAGGAAACUCUGACGCAGUGACGCCGCGUGCAGGAAGAAGGUUUUCGGAUUGUAAACUGCUUUAGACAGGGAAGAAAAAGACAGUACCUGUAGAAUAAGCUCCGGCUAACUACGUGCCAGCAACCGCGGUAAUACGUAGGGAGCAAGCGUUAUCCGGAUUUAUUGGGUGUAAAGGGUGCGUAGACGGGAAAAUAAGUUAGUUGUGAAAUCCCCAUGCUUAACAUGGGAACUGCAACUAAAACUGUUUUUCUUGAGUGCUGGAGAGGAAAGUGGAAUUCCUAGUGUAGCGGUGAAAUGCGUAGAUAUUAGGAGGAACACCAGUGGCGAAGGCGACUUUCUGGACAGUAACUGACGUUGAGGCACGAAAGUGUGGGGAGCAAACAGGAUUAGAUACCCUGGUAGUCCACACCGUAAACGAA